rnacentral:lncRNA from 10 species
CUUUGAUAUCAGGAGUGAUGCAAUGAUGUUCGUUUUCACCUUCCUUAUUCAACAUUAUAUUGCAGGUCUUAUAUAGUCCAGGGCAAGAGGCAGAGGAGGAUAAAAUAAUUGAAAAUGAAUAUAUAGGAUAAUCUUGUAGUUCAUAAGCAUGAUGAUUGCCUUUUCACACUCGUAUGAGAUGUGCCUCCCUUGAACCUUGUUAUGAUGUUGGCACAUUACCCAUCUGCACUCCUCGCCUCUCUGCCUUUGCUUUUCAGUCCCCUCCACCUUACACAUCCUUCGCUUGCCUUUCUGCUGACCUUCAGACUUUAUCUCCUUCAUGAGGUCUCCCUCUCCCAUCCACAUCAGCAUCCAUCUCUCUUCCGCCAGCACUUUCUCUCUGCCUCAGUACUGCACCUCUCCCAGCCUGCCAGGUCG